GUGAGGAAUAUUGGUCAAUGGAGGGAACUCUGAACCAGCCAUGCCGCGUGAAGGAGGAAGGCCCUAUGGGUUGUAAACUUCUUUUGCCUGGGGGCAAUAAGGGCGGUGCGCCGUCCGAUGAGAGUACCAGGCGAAUAAGCAUCGGCUAACUCCGUGCCAGCAGCCGCGGUAAUACGGAGGAUGCAAGCGUUAUCCGGAUUUAUUGGGUUUAAAGGGUGCGCAGGCGGCGCGUUAAGUCAGCGGUGAAAUGUCCCGGCUCAACCGGGGAGCUGCCGUUGAUACUGGCGUGCUGGAGUGCGGACGGCGCCGGCGGAAUAUGUAAUGUAGCGGUGAAAUGCAUAGAUAUUACAUAGAACACCGAUCGCGAAGGCAGCUGGCGAGGCCGUUACUGACGCUGAGGCACGAAAGCGUGGGGAUCAAACAGGAUUAGAAACCCCUGUAGUCC
rnacentral:rRNA from 1 species